GCACAAAACAUAUGAUUUUUAAGGUAAAUAUAUUCUGUAGCCUGGACUAUUUAAACAUUAAAUCAUUACUUUUUAAAAAUAUGUGAUAAAUUUUCACUCAGAAAGAAAGCUUAAAUUGAAAACUUUCAUACCACCAAGAAAAAUAUCAGUACUUCGUACUUUACUGUCUGAAAUCUACCUUACAUAAUGCACACAGAUAAGAUCUGGAAAUGAUUAAAUGAUUUUAAAAGUCCUUGCAAUAAUCAAGAAGAAGCAAUUUACUUUUAUGCUCACUCAAACGCUUUCUGUCCUGGUCACCUUUACCUUUUUAUGUUCAUACCUAACAAAAAUUUUGACCAAUAAUUUUCUUUGUAUUCCAAGCUAUACUAUUUAUAAGUUAAUGAAUGUUUUCAUGUGGACAAUUUCGGAAACACAGUUAUUUACAAAGAACAUUUAGUUGUUAUACAGAUUGGAAAGAUAGAUAUAUUACUUAUUGUAUUUAAGCAAAAUCAAUUAUGUAUUGCUUGUAUAUAUGAAAUUUCUCCCAAAAAACCUACUGAGAUAAAUAGAACUAGAAACAUCUGGGACUUCUUCUGUUUUCUUUCCACGAAGAUUCCCCAUAGAAACAAUGAGGCAAAUUUUUCAAUUUAUUUUUCUUCAUUUUGCACAGUUUGAGGCCAGUUUUGAUCUUUAAAAUACUUUGAGAAUUUGAAAUAUCACAAUCAGGUUUUGAAGUUUUAUAGCAAUUGGGCCCACACAAACUUUUAAAGUGUCUAACAAGGAAUACUACCCAUAAUUUCUUCCUCACAAAUGCCAUUAUAAAGUAAGGUGUUUGUCAGGUGCCAAGAACUGGAUUAUCAAGAGCACAAUGUAGAAGCUAAAGGACAGAAGUUUGGAUGAGGAUUGUUUAUGAAAGAGAAGUCCAGUGUUGGCACUGGUACGUGUUCUGUCUAUAUUCUCCCAGUUCCCAUCUAACAGCUCUGCAAAGAAGGUUUUGAGAAGGUUCACAUCUCUCACCUGUCAACACUUUGGAAAAACUCUCAUCACCCUGUCUCCCAGCCGAUCCUUGAUCAAAGUACAAUCUCACAAAAGCUUUCAUAGGAUAAUAAUUUAAUAAGCAACCCUGAGCCAGAAGACAAAGGAAGAGCCUAUGUAGAAGGCCAUUGCUAAUUUCCCUCCCAAUAUAAUCAAAUCAGUACAUCUCUCCAGUCAGAACUCAUAACCCUUAAUAAGUCAUUCUACUCGAUUAAGAGAAAUUGAUUUUCUUCCACCGUGGAUCACAGUGAUUAUGAUAAAUAUGGUAUCUGCCAUUCACUGUGCUUCCCUUGGUUGACUGUCCAUUUGUUUCCAGGGCAGCAGGUAAGUGAGCUAGAGAGACGACUCUAGUUGAUAUCAGCACUUUGUCAGCUAUGGAAUUGAGUGGUCCAUGGAUCAAAUGGGAAGCCAACCCUAAGAGCCUGGCCUUGCUCGAAAAUGGCGUAGUCCUGACAAUGGCUGCUGGCAGCCUUCAGCAUG
rnacentral:lncRNA from 1 species